rnacentral:sRNA from 1 species
GCCGGUCAUGGUGACGCACGCCUGUAAUCCCAGCAGCUCAGGAGGCUGAGGCAGGAGGAUCGUGAGUUCAAAGCCAGCUUCAGCAACAGCGAGGUGCUAAGCAACUCAGUGAGACCCUGUCUCUA